UACAGGAGAGACGGUCAUUCUUAUAUCGGGACAGCGAGAUCAUAGAAGAAACUCAAUCCCUCCACUCGCAAAGCAUUCUGCAUCCGAGAGCACAAGCGACUACCUAUGUGCCAAAGUAGCCAAAAAAGCAUACCAGGUACACGAUAGCCGCUGUAUGGUUCAUCCAAUGCCCCACCUUUGAUGGGGAAAAGAUGAAUAGCAUUACGCARCAAAAUUGGAUUCCGCUAAGUGGGUAUGCAACACAGAAACCCAUCCUUGCCCGACAUAGCAACAUGCCUUCGAGAC
rnacentral:misc_RNA from 1 species